rnacentral:lncRNA from 1 species
GCGCCCGCGGCCCGGGAUCCCGAGUGUCCGGAGCUCCGUGGUUUCUGUUGGACCUCGCGGGAGGCGGUUUUCUCCCGCCUGCUGUGCUCUGUGACCUCUCUGCUGCCUCCUCCACGGUCUCUGGGCGGAGCAAUCCACACUGCUGAGCCUGGGGUGGUUUGGAAUUCUUCGGCGAAGUGGAGCGGGCUGAGAGUGGGUUUCCCGUCCCCGAGCCCUCCCUCAUCUCGGAGAUGCCGCACUUGUGAGCGACAGGGCUUCAUUUGAAUUUUCGCACCUCGCGAGUUGCGGAGCCUGCAUCUCUGAAGCUGCCUCGGUGAAGAGCCACAGCAUUAUUUUUUUUCUCUUUGGGAGAGUAGCUGUCUGGGAUUUGAGAUCCUAUCUUCCCUGCAAAUUACCAGUUACAUUGGUUAUGAAUUAGCCGCAGACAUGGACAUCGUUUAGAAAGAAGUUAUGUAAUCUUUAAAAAGAAGAUUACCUAUAUCCCACAAUAGUGUGAUUUUUGUUGCAAGAAAAUACUGGGUCUGUUAAAGAAGAAAUUUAGGUUCUUCACCAAAGGACAUGGAUGAAAAUGAAAG